GCUUAUUGAUCCACAAAAAAGAUGUCUUGUAAAAACUGAAUUACAUAAGAAAUUAAGCAUAUGACAUGUAAAACGUGGUCUAGACGAUACAUUCAGGACCUGCUACAUGCAUGCGUUGGUUCAGGCCUGCUACAGAUUUACGGUCCAUAUGCUAUCAUAGGUGCACAAAGUUCUCCUUCAAUCAAGAGUCCAUAUCUCUCACUUGACUGUACCUAGACUUCUGACAGCUGCAAGAGAGCCACAUUUUAAUGCACUAUAAAUCAAGUAUGGAAUCUAAGAGAGAAAAGUCCAACGUGGAAGUAAUUUUGUCAACAAAACUUCCACAAGAGGAUUCUUCUAUCUUACGAGUUACAUCUGAACACCUUGUUCAUAUUUGCAAGCAAACCAUCUGAACACCAUGUUCAUAUUUCAAUGAAAGCACAAACUACAGUAGCAUCAUUACCUCUGGAUAAUAUUUAGCUAGCCCAAGCAGGAAUUUUAUGAUCUUGAUAACACACUUUUAACUUCACAUAGCCUGUUAGCUCCAAAAAAUAUUUGUAUAUUGCAAUCAAAUUUAGACGAGAACACACUCGGUUUAGCUAUGACCAAAACAGCUAACUCGCGACGAACCAAGAUCAACUGCACUGCUUAUUGGCCAUAAGUUACCUACACAUCCGAGAGGUAUUGGGCCAGGAAAACUAUAGCAUGUAGCGCGUACUAGAGCAUGCAACCGUGGCUGGCAGAGAGCAUGAGACAAAUUUUCUUUACUAUACUACAAAGUAGCCAGGCACAAAUAAGGAUUGUACUUGCCAGGCGAUGGAAAAAAGCAUCAGAAACAAGGGAUACACAAAAAACAAAGUUAAAUAAGUAAACCAAUGGAAUAAAGGGGAGACACUGCACAUACCAAUGUAAUGUAUAGUCGUACACAACCUAUAUCACAGGAGAAACUUAUCACAAAGGUGCCAUUGUUUGAAAAAUUUGUAAAAAAAAGUGCAAUCCUUUGAAAAGAAUCCCUUGAACAAAUCUCUCAAGAAAACGAAUGAACAUAUCAUGGAGAAGAAGAAAAAGUAUAUGAGAAAACACUUACAUCAGGAAGUUGAUGCACCAGUGAGCCAACUUUUUCUUUUAUUUAUACUUGAAAAGUUGUGUAGGCAGUCUUUGAUUAGUCAGCAUCAGUAAAAUAAUAUAGAUAAGGCACAUUACAAGCCAACAUUGUAUUGCAGCACAAGCAUCUUUAGAAUAUCAAUCUUUAAAACACAAAUGCUUAUAAGUGGACAUGACCUCCUCAAAAACUGACCGAGUUUCUGAAGGAAAUAUAAAAGGUGAAUGUAGGAAAAUUCCAUAGAAAAUUAGGGCGGUAGUAACUAUGAGACGACUGCACAGAUAGUAAGCCCACAAUACGCAUGAGCUAUAAUACCUUGACGGCCGAAAUCUGACGCAAAACUUGUAUCUCUGUAACAAGCAAUUGUAUAUGCUAGGUUUGGAGCAAUGAAAAUUAACUUGACCAUGAAAUCUUAAAUGAGAAAAGCAGUAGAAUCUAAACUAAUGGUUCAGGCUCGAGCUCACCUUAGGCCACAAAAGGGUUAUAACACGAACAUAUACAAUGAUGGUUGAAUCAUUGUUUGUAACUAACAGAAACUUCAAUAAAUAGUAAGAAUCAAAGUGGACUGAACUAUAGAAGUAAUACUAGUUACCCUGUAUGUUUUACGAACUGAAAAAUAAGAAGACAAAAGUUAUAUCUGCCAACAAUUCAAAUGGGAAAAUCGAGUAUAAUCCUUCCUGCUGAUUCUGCACCUACAGACCUAAGAUGGUUCUCAUCUCAGUACAAUCUGUAAUGUCCGCUUCGUCUUCUUUGAGCUAAACUAUUCUCUUCAAUCUAAUAUAAAUCCCAAAACUAGUACAUGAACCCAGUUAUCUUACAUCCAAUGUUUUACUACCUAAUUCAACCGGUACGACCAAGAGACAUGUAACCUACAUAGAUCUAACAAUGAUUACACUGAUUAUCUCUUAUUUAUUAAUAAUAAUUAACAUUUGAUGAACCAUGGAAUACGGAAAAUACAACAUAUUGGCACAGUAAACUGAGAAGUAAUGAGACACAAGGCGCUGAACCUAAGGACUCAUUAGACACAAAAGCGUUGGUAGCUUUAUUUAUGGAAGAUGGGAGAUUAGUACGAGGGAUGGAAGCAGCAAUACAUCAGAUCCGGAAAGACGCUCUUCUUAAUUUGUCCCCAACAUCUAAUCUACCACCACGUAGACCAAAUCACCAUGGCCAUGCAAAUUUUCGUUCACUCCUGACUGUUAUAGGAAGAAGGAGGACAUUACCAAAUCGGGCAAAGGCCGUACAAAAACUUGUCCUCCUAAACAUAAACGAGUAAACCUUCAGGUACCCAUCAGAGGGGUGCAUAAAUACACGCGCCGCAAUUUAGAACUAAGGCAGCAGCCACAGCCGGCAAGUCAUGCCCAUGAUAUAUGCCUAUAUGGAUAGGAAAAAUAGAAUCCUGGAUUGGGAUAGGACGGGAGGAGAAUUACGGGGGCACAAAUCCUGACAAUGAAGCAAAAUUUGGAGACCUCACCGUGACAUCGACGUACCCGGCGAGAUGGUGUAGCACCGCCGUCGCCGUGGCACGAAGAGUCCGCAGUCGAUGCAUCCCCGCAGCGUUUCCUGGAAUCGAGGAACCAAGAGAGCUAAUCACAC
rnacentral:lncRNA from 1 species